GUCAACUUGGAGAAUCCACAGGAGAGCAAAGGGUUAAAAAGUCGGGCUGAUUGACAGAGUGGCAGCUGUCUGAAAUCAGUCCCUAAUUGCUAAUCAGCGUCGCUGCAGCUUUAAAAGCACCACACCUGAAAGGAGGGCGGUAAUUCAAAGCUGGAGAGGGACAAACUAAAAAGCGUGCGUCCAGCAGCAGCAACAAACCAGCAGAAGAAAACUACAAAGAAGCAGCACUGGUGCAGCCAUAAAAAGCUGGAGAGGCGGCCGGUUUUUCACCUUACAACCUUACGCUGUACUGCAAACAACAAAAACUAAAGUAAAGAAGAACUCAAAAGAAAACAAAGUUGUGGUCAUUGUAUGAGUGAAACCCAGUGAAAACCUCCUAUAUGGACUGUACCAUCCCUUUCAAGCGGGGAAACUGCAAAAAUACCCAAGGGCUUGACAGU